AGAGUUUGAUCAUGGCUCAGGAUGAACGCUGGCGGCGUGCUUAACACAUGCAAGUCGAACGAAGCACAGGAAGCCGAUCUUUCGGGUGAAGCAUCCUGUGACUUAGUGGCGGACGGGUGAGUAACGCGUGGGCAACCUGCCCUUAACCGGGGGACAACAGUUGGAAACGGCUGCUAAUACCGCAUAAGCGCACGGGACCGCAUGGUCGAGUGUGAAAAAUUCCGGUGGUUAAGGAUGGGCCCGCGUUGGAUUAGGUAGUUGGUGAGGUAACGGCCCACCAAGCCGACGAUCCAUAGCCGACCUGAGAGGGUGACCGGCCACAUUGGGACUGAGACACGGUCCAAACUCCUACGGGAGGCAGCAGUGAGGAAUAUUGGUCAAUGGGCGCGAGCCUGAACCAGCCAAGUAGCGUGCAGGAUGACGGCCCUAUGGGUUGUAAACUGCUUUUAUACAGGGAUAAAGUUGGGAACGUGUUCCCUUUUGCAGGUACUGUAUGAAUAAGGACCGGCUAAUUCCGUGCCAGCAGCCGCGGUAAUACGGAAGGUCCGGGCGUUAUCCGGAUUUAUUGGGUUUAAAGGGAGCGCAGGCCGGAGGUCAAGCGUGACGUGAAAUGUAGCCGCUCAACGGCUGAACUGCGUCGCGAACUGGCUUUCUUGAGUGAGUACGACGUCAGCGGAAUUCGUGGUGUAGCGGUGAAAUGCUUAGAUAUCACGAAGAACCCCGAUUGCGAAGGCAGCUGACGAGUCCUUAACUGACGCUAAAGCUCGAAGGUGCGGGUAUCGAACAGGAUUAGAUACCCUGGUAGUCCGCACGGUAAACGAUGGAUGCCCGCUGUCGGCGACAGACUGUCGGCGGCCAAGCGAAAGCGUUAAGCAUCCCACCUGGGGAGUACGCCGGCAACGGUGAAACUCAAAGGAAUUGACGGGGGCCCGCACAAGCGGAGGAACAUGUGGUUUAAUUCGAUGAUACGCGAGGAACCUUACCCGGGCUUGAACUGCAGGAGAACGAUCCAGAGAUGGUGAGGCCCUUCGGGGCUCCUGUGGAGGUGCUGCAUGGUUGUCGUCAGCUCGUGCCGUGAGGUGUCGGCUUAAGUGCCAUAACGAGCGCAACCCCUCUCUUCAGUUGCCAUCACUUCGGGUGGGCACUCUGGAGACACUGCCACCGUAAGGUGUGAGGAAGGUGGGGAUGACGUCAAAUUAGCACGGCCCUUACGUCCGGGGCUACACACGUGUUACAAUGGGUGGUACAGAGCGUCGGCCGCCGGCAACGUCGGUCCAAUCGUGAAAUCCAUCCUCAGUUCGGACUGGGGUCUGCAACCCGACCCCACGAAGCUGGAUUCGCUAGUAAUCGCGCAUCAGCCAUGGCGCGGUGAAUACGUUCCCGGGCCUUGUACACACCGCCCGUCAAGCCACGAAAGCCGGGGGCGCCUGAAGUCCGUGACCGCGAGGGUCGGCCUAGGGUGAAACCGGUGAUUGGGGCUAAGUCGUAACAAGGUAGCCGUA
rnacentral:rRNA from 1 species